rnacentral:lncRNA from 1 species
CUGACUCUUCCAAGCAGUCCUCAAACAGACCUGCUCACAACAUAAGCCAUAUUUUAGGUCAUGAUUGCAGCUCAGCUGUUUAAAUCCAGAGAAACUAACUGUAGUGGUUUGGGUUGAAAUGACAACUGUUCUUCUGUAUACAGAUGUGCAUUGAGAGAGCUUAUGUGGAUAUGUGUCUUUGUAUUGGAUAACCGUUUUUCCAUUAGCUUCUGUCUACAAGGAAGCCAUGUCAGAGAGGAUGCAUACACUGGGGUUGUCAAAACAAUCAUCUUUUAUUUCUGAGUGAUGUGCUUUCUUUAAUCUUCUAAGUGACUUACCUUUCCAAGCUUGAUUUGUAAUCUUUUAUUCCCUAAGUACUAAUCAGCCAGAAGGCGAAGAGAUCUUGGCACAUGCUGGGUGGGAGGGGGAACUGAGAUUCUGAACUCAGUUGUUGAGAAGUUGUAAACUGAAUAGUUGAGAUGGUCGAGAUGGUUAAGUUGCAAAUCCAAAAGUAAAAGCAACUUGAAAGAAAUCAUGAUUCGUCAUAGGUGCUUGUCGAUGUCAACAUCUAACAGUUCUGAACCAUGGCAAGUAAUGAAUUGAUAAUGAGUUGAAUUCCCAUAAGUAAAAAUAUCAGGCAGAUAGAAAAUAAAUGAAGUGUUUGAUCAUUCCUGAGCUUUGAUACAGAGACUUCUUUCUUAAUUAUAAUUUUUUUAAUAAACUCCCUAAAUUUCAUGUCUUGUUCUUCAAGGUAGGAGCCACAUUCUCCUUUAAUGUGCCAAGAUUCUGUAAAGUAAGUCUUCCUUAGACAAUGAGCCUUAAAAAUACAAAGCUAAGACAAUACAGAAACGCUUUCCACUUAGUACUUGGGUUUUGCAUCAGGCCAAAGAAUAACAGCAGUUGUCUGUGGUUUUCCUGGUGUCGGUUAGCAACUAGUACUUCACUAGUUGAAUUGAUUUUGUAUUCUCUCUUCAUUCUAUUUAUUUGGUCUUAAAAUACAUUAAUUUACAAUCACUUAAAUGUUAGAACUGUUCAGAAAAUAUUGUGUUUAGAAGACACUUUGAGCCUUUCAGAUACUUCAGAGUAGAGUUUUAAGCUGUCUUUUUAUUUGCUGAUUAUUUAUAUUAAAUAUGGCAUUGUAAAUUA